rnacentral:rRNA from 1 species
GACGUAGGGCGCGAGCGUUGUCCGGAUUUAUUGGGCGUAAAGAGCUCGUAGGCGGCUUGUCGCGUCGACCGUGAAAACUUGGGGCUCAACCCCAAGCCUGCGGUCGAUACGGGCAGGCUCGAGUUCGGUAGGGGAGACUGGAAUUCCUGGUGUAGCGGUGAAAUGCGUAGAUAUCGAGAGGAACACCUGCGGCGAAGGCGGGUUGCUGGGCUGACACUGACGCUGAGGCGCGAAAGCUAGGGGAGCGAACGGG